rnacentral:rRNA from 1 species
AAUGAACGCUGGCGGCAUGCCUAACACAUGCAAGUCGAACGAAGGCUUCGGCCUUAGUGGCGCACGGGUGCGUAACGCGUGGGAAUCUGCCCUUGGGUUCGGAAUAACAGUUAGAAAUGACUGCUAAUACCGGAUGAUGUCGUAAGACCAAGAUUUAUCGCCCAAGGAUGAGCCCGCGUAGGAUUAGCUAGGUGGUGGGGUAAAGGCCUACCAAGGCGACGAUCCUUAGCUGGUCUGAGAGGAUGAUCAGCCACACUGGGACUGAGACACGGCCCAGACUCCUACGGGAGGCAGCAGUGGGGAAUAUUGGACAAUGGGCGAAAGCCUGAUCCAGCAAUGCCGCGUGAGUGAUGAAGGCCUUAGGGUUGUAAAGCUCUUUUACCCGGGGUGAUAAUGACAGUACCGGGAGAAUAAGCUCCGGCUAACUUCGUG